rnacentral:rRNA from 1 species
UACGUAGGGUGCGAGCGUUGUCCGGAAUUAUUGGGCGUAAAGAGCUCGUAGGCGGUUUGUCACGUCUGCUGUGAAAUCCCGAGGCUCAACCUCGGGCCUGCAGUGGGUACGGGCAGACUGGAGUGCGGUAGGGGAGAAUGGAAUUCCUGGUGUAGCAGUGGAAUGCGCAGAUAUCAGGAGGAACACCGAUGGCGAAGGCAGUUCUCUGGGCCGUAACUGACGCUGAGGCACGAAAGCGUGGGGAGCAAACAGG